UACAGAGGGUGCGAGCGUUAAUCGGAAUUACUGGGCGUAAAGGGCGCGUAGGCGGUUAUAUAAGAUUGAUGUGAAAUCCCUGGGCUUAACCUAGGAACUGCAUCGAUGACUGUAUGGCUGGAGUACUGUAGAGGGUAGUGGAAUUUCCGGUGUAGCGGUGAAAUGCGUAGAGAUCGGAAGGAACACCAGUGGCGAAGGCGGCUACCUGGACAGAUACUGACGCUGAGGCGCGAGAGCGUGGGGAGCAAACAGG
rnacentral:rRNA from 1 species